rnacentral:rRNA from 1 species
UACAGAGGGGGCAAGCGUUGUUCGGAAUUACUGGGCGUAAAGGGCGCGUAGGCGGCCUGCUAAGUCGUACGUGAAAUCCCUGGGCUCAACCCAGGAACUGCGUCCGAUACUGGUUGGCUUGAAUCCGGGAGAGGGAUGUGGAAUUCCAGGUGUAGCGGUGAAAUGCGUAGAUAUCUGGAGGAACAUCAGUUGCGAAGGCGGCUCUCUGGACCAGCACUGACACUGAGGCACGAAAGCGUGGGGAGCAAACAGG